rnacentral:lncRNA from 1 species
GAGGCGCACAGUAUUUAUUUCGUUCCACGUGUGUUAACCUAUAGAAUAGAGCUUGUGGCUCUCAGACUUAUCCCCCAUUAUCGUCUCAACAGUAAGAGUCACAACCUGCCAGCAGAAAUACCAAACUAUGUGCCUCCUGGCGUACGUAUUUCUGGUCUUGGUGUUGCUCAAGGGCGCAGCGGCAGUAUGCUGCUAUGGACUUGUCGGAAUCAACAUAGUAACUCGCUGCGACGACGGAUUGCCAGUAUAUGGAGCCUAUUGCGGAAGGGGCGAUUGCAAUUUAUUUGGAUGCAACUGCUUUGGCGGGUGUAGAGGUCACGCAAAGUAAACCAGCAUCAGGUGUACAUGCCAAUAUUCUCCCACAAAAAUAUAUUGCAAAGACUUUCCCCAUUCUCUGUGUAAAUAAUUGUGCAACUUUCAAACUAACAAAUCAUCUUGUUUCGCUUCAAACUAACCGCAAAUAUUGGCAGGAAAAAUAUCAAAUUAAAUUUUAACUGCUCGACAUGGAGC